rnacentral:rRNA from 1 species
CACACGACCGUACCGCAAACCGACACUGGUGCGCGAGAUGAGUAUUCUAAGGCGCUUGAGAGAACUCAGGAGAAGGAACUCGGCAAAUUGACACCGUAACUUCGGAAGAAGGUGUGCCUUUAGUAGGUGAACCUGUACAAGGGGAGCCCAAUGAGGUUGCAAAAAAUCGGUGGCUGCGACUGUUUAAUAAAAACACAGCACUCUGCAAACACGAAAGUGGACGCAUAGGGUGUGACGCCUGCCCGGUGCUGGAAGAUUAAAUGAUGGGGUGCAAGCUCUUGAUUGAAGUCCCAGUAAACGGCGGCCGUAACGAUAACGGUCCUAAGGUAGCGAAAUUCCUUGUCGGGUAAGUUCCGACCUGCACGAAUGGCGUAACGAUGGCCACACUGUCUCCUCCUGAGACUCAGCGAAGUUGAAAUGUUUGUGAUGAUGCAAUCUCCCCGCGGAAAGACGGAAAGACCCCAUGAACCUUUACUGUAGCUUUGUAUUGGACUUUGAACAGAUCUGUGUAGGAUAGGUGGGAGGCUUUGAAGUGUGGUCGCUAGAUCGCAUGGAGCCAACGUUGAAAUACCACCCUGGUGUGUUUGAGGUUCUAACCUAGGCCCGUAAUCCGGGUCGGGGACAGUGCAUGGUAGGCAGUUUGACUGGGGCGGUCUCCUCCCAAAGCGUAACGGAGGAGUUCGAAGGUACGCUAGGUACGGUCGGACAUCGUGCUAAUAGUGCAAUGGCAUAAGCGUGCUUAACUGCGAGACUGACAAGUCGAGCAGAUGCGAAAGCAGGACAUAGUGAUCCGGUGGUUCUGUAUGGAAGGGCCAUCGCUCAACGGAUAAAAGGUACUCUGGGGAUAACAGGCUGAUACCGCCCAAGAGUUCAUAUCGACGGCGGUGUUUGGCACCUCGAUGUCGGCUCAUCUCAUCCUGGGGCUGUAGCCGGUCCCAAGGGUAUGGCUGUUCGCCAUUUAAAGAGGUACGUGAGCUGGGUUUAAAACGUCGUGAGACAGUUUGGUCCCUAUCUUCCGUGGGCGCUGCAGAUUUGAGGAAGCCUGCUCCUAGUACGAGAGGACCGGAGUGGACACACCUCUGGUGUAUCGGUUGUCACGCCAGUGGCAUUGCCGAGUAGCUAUGUGUGGAAGAGAUAACCGCUGAAAGCAUCUAAGCGGGAAACUCGUUUCAAGAUGAGAUCUGCCGGGGCCUUGAGCCCCCUAAAGAGUCGUUCAAGACCAGGACGUUGAUAGGUCGGGUGUGGAAGCGCAGUAAUGCGUUAAGCUAACCGAUACUAAUUGCUCGUGCGGCUUGAUC